rnacentral:rRNA from 1 species
AGUGAACGCUGGCGGUAGGCCUAACACAUGCAAGUCGAACGGCAGCACAGUAAGAGCUUGCUCUUACGGGUGGCGAGUGGCGGACGGGUGAGGAAUACAUCGGAAUCUACUUUUUCGUGGGGGAUAACGUAGGGAAACUUACGCUAAUACCGCAUACGACCUACGGGUGAAAGCAGGGGAUCUUCGGACCUUGCGCGAUUGAAUGAGCCGAUGUCGGAUUAGCUAGUUGGCGGGGUAAAGGCCCACCAAGGCGACGAUCCGUAGCUGGUCUGAGAGGAUGAGCAGCCACACUGGAACUGAGACACGGUCCAGACUCCUACGGGAGGCAGCAGUGGGGAAUAUUGGACAAUGGGCGCAAGCCUGAUCCAGCCAUACCGCGUGGGUGAAGAAGGCCUUCGGGUUGUAAAGCCCUUUUGUAGGGAAAGAAAAGCAGCAGGUUAAUACCCCGCUGUUCUGACGGUACCCAAAGAAUAAGCACCGGCUAACUUCGUG